UCUUGAUUGGUCUAGUGGUUAGGAUACCUGCUUGUCAAUGGUAACAAGCCGCAGGUGGCCGGGGUUCGAUUCCCCGAUCGAGAG